ACAUCUUGUCGCAUCCUAUGACAUCCUAUUGUAUUCUAUAAACAAUAAUUAGAAUGUCAUAAAAAUAAUAGGACAUCAUAAUAAUGAUAUGACAUCCUAUUGCAUCCUAUGACAUCCUAUUACAUCUUAUAAAUAAUUAUCGGGAUGUCAUAAAAAUAAUAGGACGUUAUAAUCAUGAUAUGACAUCUUGUUGCAUUUUAUGACAUCCUGUUGCAUUCUAUGACAAAACAAUAGGACGCCAUAUAACAUUAUCCGCAAUGUUAUAGCAUUCAAUACGAAAGGGCA
rnacentral:lncRNA from 1 species